ACGUAGGAGGCGAGCGUUAUCCGGAUUUACUGGGCGUAAAGCGCGCGCAGGCGGAUGGGUAAGGGAUGCGUGAAAGCGCCUGGCUCAACUGGGCGAGGACGUAUCCGACUGCCUAUCUUGAGAAGGCUAGAGGCAGGCAGAAUUCCGGGUGGAGUGGUGAAAUGCGUAGAUAUCGGGAGGAACACCAGUGGCGAAAGCGAUUUUCUGGAUCGUUUCUGACGCUCAGACGCGAAAGCUAGGGUAGCAAACGG
rnacentral:rRNA from 1 species